rnacentral:sRNA from 1 species
ACAAAUUACGUUCAGCCCGGGGAGGGGA